rnacentral:lncRNA from 1 species
GGCCGUUGCGCAACCCUUCCAUUUUACUCCUUCCAUCUCGAUUUAUAAGUGCACCACGUACUUGAUGAUUUUAAUAUAAUAUAUAAACAAUACAAAGUCUGCCAUCAAUUUCAUAUUUUUUUAUGAUAGAUUAUUUAUAUAUUAAUGGUCUAAGUCAUGAUUAAAACAAAAAUAAAUUCUCCCACAAAAAUAUUUAAAUAUGUGCACGCAUGGAUGAUGAGCUGGAUGGAAGUAGUAGCCCAACAAGUCAAACUGUUCUGCCCGCCCCAUCUGAAAGAGCCUUCCUCCAAAGUUGUCAGAAUGGUGAUUCUUUUUCUACCAUUUUAUGACUUUUACUCCCUAGGUACCGAUUUAUUUGUGGUUGGGGGUUUUCCCUACAAAAUUCCCACCGAAGGAUUAUUUUGGUUGUUGCCUAAACUACCCUCCCACCUCUCAUCCACUCUCUCGUGCACAGCAGCUCAGUCGCACGCUCAGCCGCACAGCCGACUGUGUCGCCGGAGCCUCUCCCUCGCCCUCGUCGCCUUCUCCCUGACGCCCCCGUAGUCGGCGCCCGCGUGGACUCCUCUCUGUCAGCCCCCGUUGUCGUCGCCCGCGUGGACUCCUCUCUGUCGCCCCCGCGCCGUCGCACUUUCCGGAGGUGGAUCCGAAGCGCGGCGGCUCGAUCUACAUAGCCAGCAGCUACGGAACGCCGCUCUCCCCCUGCUCGAUCUACCCUGCUCCGACUGCUUCAGCAGGCCAAGAAACCAUAAUGCCUCGGCAUCUCCAUCGACCGUCUCAGGAAGCGCUACCUCGUCUGGCUCCCGCAUAGCUGAUGGUAAGCCCCUCCUUUGCUCUCUUGGCCUGAUUGCUUGCUUGCGAGCCUUCCUCUAUUAGGUAUCUCUGCAAGCCAACAAAGUAAAUCCAUCAAUGCAACUAGUACUCUGAAUCCAUCAAUGCAACUAGUACUCUAAAUUUGGAGUGCCAGGAGUAGUACUCUGAAUCCAUCAAUGCAACUAAAUCCAUCAAUGUGAAUCAAGUUGUGACAGGUAUCUCUGCAUGCUUAAUUCACUCAAUUUUUUUGCAGUAGGACUAGUUGCUGGAAAUUUACUGAACUUUGUUUCCCGUGGAUGCACUGAAUUUAACAGAAAGAGUACUCCAGGAGUACAUGGAGUUGAUACACUGAAUUUUGUUUCCAGUAGAUGCACUCUGAUGAUCUCUGCAUCACCACAAAAGUGCAGAUACAAAAGCCAGAUGUUUUGCUUAUUAUACUGAACUUUUCCUGAGUAAGUCAUAUGAUUUGCUUUUUCUAUCUUGUUAGGUGAGUAAACACUAAAUCAGUGUUCAGUAAAUGGCUGCUCCAAAUGUUUAGUAAAUGGAUACUCCAAAUGUUCAGUAAAUGGCUGCUCCAAAUCAUUUGGUGCCUGAUUUGGACGGCUACCGUGUGCAGCAGCUGCUUGCUUGUGUGUGCAAAUCAUUCCAAUCAUCAGUGUCGCUUCAAAUCAUUAUUACUGAGUGCAGCUGCUCAGCCCCAUCCGGGAUAAUACUGAAUUUCUUAGCAUUACAGUACUUGCUGGAAAUCAUUCCUGUAAUUACAGUAUGGUGGUCAGCUUCAAGCAUUAUUACUGUAAUUGCUGCAAAUCAUCAUUGUUCAAAUCAUUAGUCAGAUUCAAUAUAAUCUUUAGGAUUAGUCAAUUCUUUGGAGUAAAUUACAGUACGGUGAUGUUCAAUAUGAAUUGGAGUAAAUUACAGUACGGUGAUGUUCAAUAUGAAUUGGAGUAAAUUGCUAGAGUAGUGUACUGCUGCUGUAGUUUCUCUCUUCUCAUCUCUCUCUUCUCACUUCCCUGAAAGCUCUAUUAGGUAUCUAGUGUAGGAGUAAGAGUGGCUAGGAUUAAUUUCUCUCUUCUCACCUCUCAUUUUCUUCCUCUUUCUCUUCUCUUUUCAAAGCACUUUUUUGAAUUUUAAUUCAUCUGUGUGCAUACAAAUUCAGAAGAGUGCUUUGAAAAGCACUUAACUGAAUUUUAAUGCACAUAGGUGCAUAAAAAAUCAGAGAACUGCUUUGAAAAGCACUUUUUCAAUUUUAGUUCACCGAUGUGCAUACAAAUUCAGAAAAGUGCUUUGAAAAGCACUUAACUGAAUUUUAAUGCAUCUAUGUGCAUACAAACUGAGAGAAGUUCUUUGAAAAGCACUUAACUGUAGUGCCUGGUUUGAGGAUAAUAAUCCAGUUAGUUUCCCCUGCCGUUGGUCAUUAAGAGUAUUUGGAAUAAAAAGGGAGUAGCUCACCUACUGUUGAAUUUGCUUUGUCAAUAUUUCUGCUUAUUUGUCAAUCUUGCUUUUGUUUUCAUAGGUGAAGAGAUGGACAGUGACCAAUCCAAGCACUUCUGAACUCUUGGAGUCGCUACAACUGACGGCUAGAGGUGCGGGCGGCUGGAGGUGCUGGUACAACGGGCGGUAGGAGGACGAUCAAGAUUCGUGAGACUAUAGGUGCGGGCGGCUGGAGGUGUGGGCACCUAUGCUCCUACAACAGGGCCAUGGGGCGCGACGGGCAGAAGCUGCAAGGGGCGGCUGGAGGACGAGCAGGACUCGCCGACAGCUGGAGGUGCCGGCUCGACGGGAAGGAGCCACGAGGCUGUAGGGGCGUCGGCGACUGGAGGUGCGGGCUCAAGGUGUAGGGGCGUCGACGACUGGAGGUGCGGGCUCGGGGG